rnacentral:lncRNA from 1 species
CCCACGUCUUUAGCAGAGCCGAAGCCCCAGCCAAAACAUACCAGCUGCCCUGCCUGCAAACAGCGUGAAGUGUACCAAGACUAAACCAGGUUGAGGAGGCCCAUGGUGAAGGGUGUGAGGGCCUCCGUCCAGGACAGACGGAUGGCUGGGGGAGCCACAAGAAAAUAGUUGAGCGUAGUCGCCCGCCCAUUGCAACCAGUAAGCACACUUGGGGAGGGGGGUUACCUUGAGGUUACCUUGAAGUGCUUCCGGGUCUUAGUGUCCCCGCGGCCCGGUCGUCGACCAGGCCUCCUGGUUGCUGGACUGAUCAACCAGUACCUCGGGGAGGUACUGGUCGGGGGGAAGGCAUGAGUGUCGGUUUCCACUCCUAAGUGCCAAAGAGUAAACGGGGCCCCAAACCAGCGCAGUAGUGGUGGUGCUCCCGCGCAAAUGGACACCCUCUGGCCAAUACUUAAAACUUUGGUCACGGAGUUAAUUGAAAAGUUUGCUGUCGAUACAUGGUAUCAAGCAAACCAGACUCUUAAAGACAAUUAAGCACAAGGUCAAGAAACUUUGAAGAAAACAAAAUAUCCACACCUUCAAUAAUGCAAGGCAGGAGACGCUUGCAAUUGGCUGCACCAGUUUUUGCCUCGCCUCUGCCUUCCCAAAAGUCUACCUUCAGACACGUGAAGAUGGCUGGUAAGAACUACAAUUUCUCAGUGUGUGAAUACUGAAGACUACAGCUGGGAACAAGCAAACUCUUACUGCUAGUCUUGGCAGAGACUUCCAGCUAGUUGGUAUCCAAGACAACAAUAAGGAAGACUUCACAAACGGCAUUAUCGUCAAAAGUGGAAUAGUUGACGUGGACAAGUGGCAACUAGUGAGGCAGGAGGACCUGGAGGUGGUCAUCCCGGUACACUGUACUACACCAACUAGUGAGGCAGGGGACCUGGCGGUGGUCAUCCCGGUACACUGUACUACACCAACUAGUGAGGCAGGGGACCUGGCGGUGGUCAUCCCGGUACACUGUACUACACCAACUAGCGAGGCAGGAGGACCUGGAGGUGGUCAUCCCGGUACACUGUACUACACCAACUAGUGAGGCAGGAGGACCUGGCGGUGGUCAUCCCGGUACACUGUACUACACCAACUAGUGAGGCAGGAGGACCUGGCGGUGGUCAUCCCGGUACACUGUACUACACCAACUAGUGAGGCAGGAGGACCUGGCGGUGGUCAUCCCGGUACACUGUACUACACCAACUAGUGAGGCAGGAGGACCUGGAGGUGGUCAUCCCGGUACACUGUACUACACCAACUAGUGAGGCAGGAGGACCUGGCGGUGGUCAUCCCGGUACACUGUACUACACCAACUAGUGAGGCAGGAGGACCUGGAGGUGGUCAUCCCGGUACACUGUCCUACACCAACUAGUGAGGCAGGAGGACCUGGCGGUGGUCAUCCCGAUACACUGUACUACACCAACUAGUGAGGCAGGACCUGGCGGUGGUCAUCCCGGUACACUGUACUACACCAACUAGUGAGGCAGGAGGACCUGGCGGUGGUCAUCCCGGUACACUGUACUACACCAACUAGUGAGGCAGGGGACCUGGAGGUGGUCAUCCCGGUACACUGUACUACACCAACUAGUGAGGCAGGGGACCUGGGUCAUCCUGAUACUGUUCUGCACCAACUGGUCUCUUGCUGCAGGGUGACCACCCCCAGGCAACCCAGGACAGUCUUGGGGUACUUGAGAACAUCUGCAACAACAUGACGACCACAUUGCCUGUCACCACGUCAAGUGUCAUCUGCGAGACAAGCCUUUGAUGUAUUUUUUGUCAGAAAAUGGCCUGGUUUCCUGAAUGGUGAUGUUGUAAAAUAUUAAAUUUUAAACUAGUUCAUAAUCUUGAAUACCUUAUCCAGGCGGUGUCCUAAUGCUUUGUGUCUACACAUCUUGCUAGUAGCGACUUAAGUGUCGUUAGGGUAAUUUCUUCUUUUUCUGUAGAGAAAAAUUAAUAAAUCCUUAACUCUUCAGUUAAGGAAAACUAUUAAUGAAUUGUGACUUCAAAGUCACCAUGUAGGGGGAUGGGGGGGGGUUUAUAUGUACACAUUACCCCCUCCCUCUUACAGACCAGAGUGUAGGUGGGUUACCUGGUUGUGGCACUAUUUUUGGGCCUCGCUCCCAGUGACCUUGCUAGGUAUCUACACUGAAUGACUUUUGUUUGGCAGUGAAUAUCUGGAAGAAACUUGAACGCUGGCUAGACUCUUCAGUGUUUUAAAAUUUUUUUUUUUUUUUUAAAUGCAAACCCAUUCUAACCACCUAAAUAACUACUUCAUUUGCCUAUGUGUCCACAGAACUGCAUUCUAUAUUGUGACCCAGUGUACUAAAGUAAUAAAUCUCUAAACUGUUACUUGUACAUAUCAUAAAUGCAUAUUUAUAGAUUUAAUUAUAUUUCUAGAGUUAGGAAGAUAAUGGGGGGGGGGAAGUUCUGCAUGACAUUCUACCAUGACAUUAAAUAGUUUCAUUGGAAACUUUAGAGGGAUGUACUUUUUCAAAAUGUUUAAUAAAUUAACAAGUGAUGCACGAAUGUUCAAUGUUUAACUGAAACCGAGAUGGAACAAGCUAUGUGAACUAAAAUUUUUACAUUAAUAAUGAAUAUGCUUUUUAAUUGGUUUAAGGUGAAGCUCUACUUUAAUUCAAAAUAGCAAAGAUGUGAGUGGCUGCCACAAGUGGCCUGGCAACAUGACCGUCAGCCUCGUGAAUUGUAGGUUACUUAACCUCGCUCGCUUUUGUUGGUCGCCACCCACUGAAGGGCAGUGACCCGCAUAUUGAGGUGCCCUGGAGCGAGAACUGAUGCUUUCACUGUCCCCGGAACGAGGAAAUAGUUACGUGACCACUCCCGCUGGUCUCCUGCGUUGUUCCGCACUAAAUA